AGAUUGAACGCUGGCGGCAGGCCUAACACAUGCAAGUCGAGCGGUAGAGAGGUGCUUGCAUCUCUUGAGAGCGGCGGACGGGUGAGUAAUGCCUAGGAAUCUGCCUAGUGGUGGGGGAUAACGUUCGGAAACGGACGCUAAUACCGCAUACGUCCUACGGGAGAAAGCGGGGGACCUUCGGGCCUCGCGCCAUUAGAUGAGCCUAGGUCGGAUUAGCUAGUUGGUGAGGUAAUGGCUCACCAAGGCGACGAUCCGUAACUGGUCUGAGAGGAUGAUCAGUCACACUGGAACUGAGACACGGUCCAGACUCCUACGGGAGGCAGCAGUGGGAAUAUUGGACAAUGGGACGAAAGCCUGAUCCAGCCAUGCCGCGUGUGUGAAGAGGUCUUCGGAUUGAAAGCACUUUAAGUGGAGGAAGGUUGUAACCUAAGUACGUUAGCUAACUUUGAACGUUACCGACAGAAUAAGCAACCGGCUAACUUCGCGCAGCAGCCGUACG
rnacentral:rRNA from 1 species